rnacentral:tRNA from 1 species
GGAAGUGCGCCAGCGUUGGAGAGCUGGGCCGGUCUGUAAAACCGGAGCCUUCGGGCUAAGCAGGUUCGAAUCCUACGACUUCCA